UACGUAGGGUGCAAGCGUUAAUCGGAAUUACUGGGCGUAAAGCGUGCGCAGGCGGCUUUGCAAGACAGAUGGGAAAUCCCCGGGCUUAACCUGGGAACUGCAUUUGUGACUGCAUGGCUGGAGUGUGGCAGAGGAGACUGGAACUCCUGGUGUAGCAGUGAAAUGCGUAGAUAUCAGGAGGAAUACCGAUGGCGAAGGCAGGUCUCUGGGCUGACACUGACGCUCAUGCACGAAAGCGUGGGGAGCAAACAGG
rnacentral:rRNA from 1 species